AAAUGCAUAUGAAAGUGCUUAGCACGGUGCCUCACACAUAGUAAGCAGUCAGCACAUAUCAGCUGUUAUUAUUAUCAUCAUGCAGUUAACACCGAUGUCUUCCUCAUCAGUCAGCAGAUUCGGAGAGGGGGAAUCCAACAGUCAGACCGGGCCCAGACAAGGGAGGCCAGACACUGUGGUGCUGCAGGAGUGGAGUGGGCUGCUCUCGGGAGCAAGGGGUCCAAGUUCAAUUUGGGCCUCACCAUGUCUCAGAUCUUUUUAUAGGCCCUUGGAAAGUUCCCAGCCCAGUACCUGGCCAUUGUCCUAUGGAUAAAAUAGAACCACCUGUGUUUGGUGGGAGAAGGGCUGAGGGGGACCUCUCUGGACACUGCCCUCCCCAACCAGCAGCCAUGUAGAAAGAUGGCAAGAUGAAGUCACUCAGUGGCCUUGAGAGACCAAAAGGAUCACGAUAACAUUGGUGACUUCUCUGGACCAGCCAUAGCCCUCUCCCCUGGUUUUUCUUGCGUGCUGGGGGCCUCAAAAUGACUGAAAUUGGAAAUAUUAUUCAUUCAUUUAUUCAGUGUUUACUGAGCCAUAAAUCAAUACCACCCUUAACGAAAGCAAUUUGGCAUCAUCUGUUAAAAUGACAACUGCAAAUACCCUUUGAUUCAGCGAUUCCACU
rnacentral:lncRNA from 1 species